rnacentral:rRNA from 1 species
UACGAGGGGGGCAAGCGUUGUUCGGAAUUAUUGGGCGUAAAGGGUGCGUAGGCGGUGCGGUAAGUCUGUUGUGAAAUCUCCGGGCUCAACUCGGAGUCUGCAUCAGAAACUGCCGUGCUGGAGUGUGGGAGAGGUGAGUGGAACUGCGAGUGUAGAGGUGAAAUUCGUAGAUAUUCGCAAGAACACCAGUGGCGAAGGCGGCUCACUGGCCCGGUACUGACGCUGAGGUGCGAAAGCGUGGGGAGCAAACAGG